rnacentral:rRNA from 1 species
GCAGUCGUACGCUUCUUUUUCCACCGGAGCUUGCUCCACCGGAAAAAGAAGAGUGGCGAACGGGUGAGUAACACGUGGGUAACCUGCCCAUCAGAAGGGGAUAACACUUGGAAACAGGUGCUAAUACCGUAUAACAAUCGAAACCGCAUGGUUUUGAUUUGAAAGGCGCUUUCGGGUGUCGCUGAUGGAUGGACCCGCGGUGCAUUAGCUAGUUGGUGAGGUAACGGCUCACCAAGGCCACGAUGCAUAGCCAACCUGAGAGGGUGAUCGGCCACAUUGGGACUGAGACACGGCCCAAACUCCUACGGGAGGCAGCAGUAGGGAAUCUUCGGCAAUGGACGAAAGUCUGACCGAGCAACGCCGCGUGAGUGAAGAAGGUUUUCGGAUCGUAAAACUCUGUUGUUAGAGAAGAACAAGGAUGAGAGUAACUGUUCAUCCCUUGACGGUAUCUAACCAGAAAGCCACGGCUAACUACGUGCCAGCAGCCGCGGUAAUACGUAGGUGGCAAGCGUUGUCCGGAUUUAUUGGGCGUAAAGCGAGCGCAGGCGGUUUCUUAAGUCUGAUGUGAAAGCCCCCGGCUCAACCGGGGAGGGUCAUUGGAAACUGGGAGACUUGAGUGCAGAAGAGGAGAGUGGAAUUCCAUGUGUAGCGGUGAAAUGCGUAGAUAUAUGGAGGAACACCAGUGGCGAAGGCGGCUCUCUGGUCUGUAACUGACGCUGAGGCUCGAAAGCGUGGGGAGCAAACAGGAUUAGAUACCCUGGUAGUCCACGCCGUAAACGAUGAGUGCUAAGUGUUGGAAGGGUUUCCGCCC